rnacentral:lncRNA from 1 species
CAAGACUGUAUCCACCUAUUCUGCAGCAAUAGUCGAUGAGUCGACCAAUAAAUCGACUAUGACCGAAGAUCGAUCCCUUACUAUCCAUAUAACUUGUUUAAUGACGAGCGGUUCUUGUAAGUUACAUAUACUAGUACACAUUGUUUAUUCGUUAAAUGAAAACAUUGUAAACGAUAGUUAUUGCACUAAAGAUAUGAAUAAAAACACACACAC